rnacentral:misc_RNA from 1 species
UCACGCCUUACGGCGGCAGUUUCACUAGAGUUCCCAGCUUAACCUGAUGGCAACUAAAGACGAGGGUUGCGCUCGUUGCGGGACUUAACCCAACAUCUCACGACACGAGCUGACGACAGCCAUGCAGCACCUGUCACUCAUCCAGCCGAACUGAAGGAAACCAUCUCUGGUAACCGCGAUGAGGAUGUCAAACGCUGGUAAGGUUCUGCGCGUUGCUUCGAAUUAAACCACAUGCUCCAUCGCUUGUGCAGGCCCUUGUCAAUUUCUUUGAGUUUUAACCUUGCGGCCGUACUCCCCAGGCGGAUAACUUAAUGCGUUAGCUGCGCCACCGAAAGUCCAUGACCCCCGACAGCUAGUUAUCAUCGUUUACGGCGUGGACUAC